UAAAAUGCUGUGAAGGAAAGAGUAGUAAAUAAAAGUGCCUAUAGAGAGUCGGAGUAGGUGAAAGCCGAUGGCAGGAUAGUUUACGAACAUGGCUCCAGAGCAGGUUAUCUGAAAAUAGAGUAGGAUAACACGGCAGCAGCCGUUAUACUGCAUAGUAAUAAAAAUUUUAAUUUGCUUUUAAAUUUGAGUUACUUAUUGAGAUCUUUAUUGUGAAAUAAGGAUGAAAUAGAGUGGUAAAGCGCAAUUUCGCCUCUAUA
rnacentral:ncRNA from 1 species